rnacentral:snRNA from 1 species
AAACGUUAUGGGCAUUGUA